rnacentral:rRNA from 1 species
GAUGAACGCUGGCGGCGUGCCUAAUACAUGCAAGUCGAGCGAACAGACGAGGAGCUUGCUCCUCUGACGUUAGCGGCGGACGGGUGAGUAACACGUGGAUAACCUACCUAUAAGACUGGGAUAACUUCGGGAAACCGGAGCUAAUACCGGAUAAUAUAUUGAACCGCAUGGUUCAAUAGUGAAAGACGGUUUUGCUGUCACUUAUAGAUGGAUCCGCGCCGCAUUAGCUAGUUGGUAAGGUAACGGCUUACCAAGGCGACGAUGCGUAGCCGACCUGAGCGGGUGAUCGGCCACACGGGAACUGAGACACGGUCCAGACUCCUACGGGAGGCAGCAGUAGGGAAUCUUCCGCAAUGGGCGAAAGCCUGACGGAGCAACGCCGCGUGAGUGAUGAAGGUCUUCGGAUCGUAAAACUCUGUUAUUAGGGAAGAACAAAUGUGUAAGUACCUAUGCACGUCUUGACGGUACCUAAUCAGAAAGCCACGGCUAACUACGUG